CUUCUCAUAUUCAUUCUGUUAUUAAUUUCUCAUCUUAAUUUUUGCAAUUAAAUCCUUCAAAGAAAAACCGGAGGCUUUCAAUAGAUUUUCCCUACAAAUUGCUUGAUCCAGUUCGAAUGGAGCAUCAUUCAUCCCCUUCAACACUUAAGUUUCUCCGGAGUCUUUCCCCCAAAAUAAUCUGAGAGUCUCUUCUUUGCAUGAGUAGAUUUUUCGAUUUUUAGAAUUUCUGCUUUGCCUGAUUCGAUUUUUCGCUGCUGAGUUGUAAACCUAAUGGAGUUUUAGUUUUAUGAUUCAACUCUAUUGUUCUUUGAUUGCUUAAUCUGAUAGUGUUUGCUUUUUUGUUGGCUUAAUCUGAUAGUGUUUGAUUAAAUGGGUUUGAUGGAAAUUUUACCCCGGUAAUUUCACUUUUUGCUGUGUUUCCGGUUUGUUCAUUUGGUUAAACAAAUACCGGACAUCAGCUAUGCAACAGAAAUAAUGUUUUAAACAUGAUUCGUGCAUCCGCAUCAGAAUGGCAUCGCAGGUUAAGUGCAACCCACCAAAGGUAGGCUUCUCAGCCACACAUGACAACUUCAAGUGCUUGCGAUCACUAAAAGAAAAAAAGUCAAGUGCCAUUACAGUUCGAUGGACAAGGAAAUGGGAAGAAUUGAACUUUAUGUCCACUAACAAAGUUACCAGUCGGGGAUAUGGUUAUCUUUGAUGAGGAGGGUCUAAUUGAUUAUUUCAAGAAUACUUUCAUCAAGAGACUUGGCAGUACGAGUGAAGAGUUUCAAAGCUGCAAAACAACGGGCUGCCUUGGUGAUGGUUGAAAAAGAAAUAAAAAGUUUGAAUCCAACAAAUCGUUUACACAUCAGAUUCGUGGUGGAAUUUCAUGAGUCAUCGUAUCGAAGAACCAAUCAGGUACCUAAUCCUCUUCGAAGUGAAAGAUACUACCGGUUCUGUUACUUUUGUAGCUUUAGACAGCAAGGUCCAGGAUAUGGUUCAGCCCACUGAAUUCAAACUCUUGAGCGGCUCAGGGAUAAAUUAUAUUGAUCAAACGUUUUUGAUAACUAACUACUAUACCCAACUAUUUUUUUCAAGGUUCAGUUCUGUGUCCAGAUGUUGCUGUUAAAUAAAUUGAUUUGUUUAGGAUCUGUAAUGCACCCUUUUCUCUUAUCAAAUAAUCCAUUGGUAAUCCUCUUCACACUUGGGAUUUCAUAGGAGUUGUGAAAAUAGUUAGUCUGGAAGGUCUAUCUUUUUAGCUUAUGUAAAUGGUAAGUUAUUCUUAUAAUUUCAUUGGUCCUGCUUUUUUAUUUAACUGGAUCGCUGCAUAAUUUCAAGGGUGUUAAAGAGUGGACAAUUUAGACACCAAGUCUGGAAGUGCCGGCCCUGUUAUUGAUCGGGUGGAAUAUGUCAUCAGUGAACAAUGUCGCUUUGGUACUUUUAGGAAGGAUGAACUAUUUGCAGUCUAUCAAGGUAAGCAUUUCCAAUCUAAAAGAUUAUAACAGUUAUAUGCGUAGGGAUUUUUAGUUGUUACGUGUAAUUUAUGCAUGCUCAGAUGUUAUACGAAUUUCAUAACAGUCACCAUAGAUGACAACAAUAAAUGACAACAAUUCACCUCAUACACACCACUGCCGCCACAAUACCACCUGACAAAAAAUCAACGUUAACUGAAACAAUAUGUUAUUCUGAUCAUACCAUCUGCAUACAUUUCCAACAAUUCUUAGAGGACUUCAACAAUUCUUCCUAUCUGAAGUUCUCCUAUUCAAAUAAACAUUUGUACAUCACUGUGGCGUGGCGUUAAUUAUCUGAAUAGCAAUAAGAACUCAGUUCAAAAGCCUUGGUAAGAUUGGAAUUAGUUUGAGCUCUAGGCCAUGGUAACAUCUUUGAUUGACAUGACAAUAUCAGUGUCUAUAUUGCUCGACUUACUAUGAUUAAAGACCUUGGAAACAUUGGAGUUAGGUUGAGCUCUAGGCCAUGGUAAUAUCAAAAACCUUAAAGACAUUGAUGCUUGAAGUUAUCUGACGUCUAAUCUGUAGGUAAAUCUAUUUGAUAUUUCUUUACCAUCACACCUUUGCGCUAUCUCGGGUGUUCCCGAGUUUCCAUGUUUUUUCUGGGCCACCCUCCAUCAUGAACUUCAAAGAUGCUGGUGAAAUCGUUAAUGUUCAACAUUUGGGGGAUGGACGUUUCAACUUUAAAGUGGCAUGUUACUGUUGAGUUUGCAACAAAAGAAGCCACGCAGAAGUUAAUAAUGUUGCUGUUACACAUGAACAAUAUGAUAGAGGAAUUUGAGUUAAUUAUGUUGUUGACCACACCACUAUCUGCUCUUCUUUAACUUCUCAAAGCAAGUCUUCUCUGUUGCAAGGUGCAUACAGUGACAUGAUACUCGAUGGUGUACAACCAUCAAGAGAUUCAUUUCACUGAAAAGAGCGAGCUAGGUUGCAAGAUGCUUUUAUUUUAACGAUCAAAAGGAAGCAAUGGGUUUAGUACCAGAAGGGAGUAUGAACUCAGUUCCACAAGUGCGAUACUUUUCGGCAUCAUAAGUAUAAGACGGAAUGCGAAUACUGGCUGUAGAGCACCAUGAGUAUGAGAAAAAACUGUAAGAAAAUUUGUAAAUUUUAGCAUUCAAUAUGAACCCAUCUUUGAGGAGGCUUCUCAUAUUGACUCAUAAAGAAAGACCCCUGAAAAAUCAAAGAUUAAGAAAGUAUAUAUGAUUGAU